CAACCCUUGCAAGCCCACCCCCCUAAACCAGCCGGAGAUUCUACUGAUGUCUGAGCGACAACGAUGUCCGCAUAUCGGGCAUCAAGUGUGAAUAAGUGUGAAUGACCCCCACGGUCGAACCUCUUGAUGUGCAAAUGCCGAGAAAAGACGGAGGAAAUGUGGGAAAAAGGCUAAUAACUUCAUUUUCAGCCUGUCCAUAUAUUUCCAUUUCUAUAAUCUGAGAAAGAUUAUUGAAAUCGAAAGUCAUGAGAAAGUAGUUGAGUAGCCCUGCAAUAAAUGAUAAAACGAAAAGAUAUCCACAAAUCCUAACUUCCAGAUGGUGUUUGUUUUUCAGAAGGAGGCAGCAGAGAGCAGACUCCCCUGGACCCAGCUGUGUCUCCAUGAAGAGUGACCGCUCUAUGAAUCUACCUGAAAAUUCUAUGCAGUCUAUGGAGAAGAAAAGAGUACAGCAGCAGAGAGCAGACUCCCCUGGACCCAGCUGUGUCUCCAUGAAGAGUGACUGGUCAAUGGAUCAUCCUCCUGAUCAGUUUAAAGAUGGAAAUCACCAACCUUCUAAGGAAAGAACGGGAGGGCCACAAACAGGAGACUCUUUGAGGCGCUCCCCCAUCAGGAAGAACACGAGAAGAUACACUAGGGCCUGAGAGCCAAGGUC